GGUCAUGAGUUUCAGCUAAAGGCCCCGGCUUGCUGAACGGCAACCCUCCGCCGCGGUGGGGUGCCCCGGGUGAAGACCAGGCCCUGCGUCAGAAAGACGUGGGACAAGCGCGGGAA
rfam:Arthrobacter gangotriensis Lz1y contig000003, whole genome shotgun sequence.